rnacentral:misc_RNA from 1 species
GAAAUGCGAUAAGUAAUGUGAAUUGCAGAAUUCAGUGAAUCAUCGAAUCUUUGAACGCACCUUGCGCUCCUUGGUAUUCCUUGGAGCAUGCCUGUUUGAGUAUCAUGAAAUCUUCAAAGUAAAUCUUUUGUUAACUCAAUUGGUUUCUACUUUGGUAUUGGAGGUCUUUGCAGCUUCACACCUGCUCCUCUUUGUUCAUUAGCUGGAUCUCAGUGUUAUGCUUGGUUCCACUCGGCGUGAUAAGUUAUCUAUCGCUGAGGACACUGUAAAAGGUGGCCAAGGUAAAUGCAGAUGAACCGCUUCUAAUAGUCCAUUGACUUGGACAAUACUUUUAUGAUCUGAUCUCAAUUCAGGUAGGACUACCCGCUGAACUUAAGC